rnacentral:rRNA from 1 species
GGAUUAGUGGCGAACGAGUUAGUAAUACCCUAGUACCUACCCUAGAGACGGGCAUAAUCCCGCGAAAGCGGGACUAAUUCCCGAUAAUCUCGCAAGAGUAAAGGCGCAAGCCACUCUGGGAGGGGCUUAGGUCCUAUCAGCUAGUUGGCGGGGUAAAAGCCCACCAAGGCUACGACGGGUAGGAGGCGUGAGAGCGCGACCUCCAACGACGCAACUGAGACACGGUGCGUACUCCUACGGGAGGCAGCAGUCGAGAAUAUUCGACAAUGGGCGAAAGCCUGAUCGAGCGACGCCGCGUGGAGGAUGAAGGCCCUCGGGUUGUAAACUCCUUUUCUGCCGGAUAAAGUCGCAAGACUGAUAGUACGGCGGGAAUAAGUGGCUGCAAACUUCGUGCCAGCAGCCGCGGUAAUACGAAGGCCACAAGCGUUAUCCGGAUUUAUUGGGCGUAAAGCGCGUGUAGGAGGUUCGGAAAGUCUUUCUGUUAAAUUUCGCCGCUCAACGGCGAAGCCGCAGGGGAUACUCCCGAACUAGAGGGCGUUAGAGGCAGAUGGAACACACGGUGUAGGGGUGAAAUCCGUUGAUAUCGUGUGGAACACCAAAGGCGAAGGCAUUCUGCUGGGACGUUCCUGACUCUGAGACGCGAAAGCGUGGGGAGCAAAAAGGAUUAGAUACCCUUGUAGUCCACGCCCUAAACGAUGCAGACUAGCUGUCUCGAGUAUCGACCCUCGGGGUGGCGUAGCUAACGCGUUAAGUCUGCCGCCUGGGAAGUACGGCCGCAAGGCUAAAACUCAAAGGAAUAGACGGGGACUCGCACAAGCGGUGGAGUAUGUGGUUUAAUUCGAUGGUAAACGAGGAACCUUACCAGGGCUUGAAAUGCUUUUGAAGAUUUUCCGAAAGGAUAAUCUUCUUACAAGGACAGAAGCACAGGUGCUGCAUGGUUGCCGUCAGCAUGUGCCGUGAGGCGCUCCCUUAAAUGGGGUAACAUGCGCAACCCUUGCCCUCUGUUACAAGUGUCAGGGGGGACUGCCGUUUUAUAAACGGAGGAAGGUGAGGAUGACGUCAAAUCAGCAUGGCCCUUUGAUGCCCUGGGCGACACACAUACUACAAUGGCCGGUAUAACGGGCUGCGAAGCCGUAAGGCGGAGCCAAUCCUUAAAACCGGCCUCAGUUCAGAUUGAGGGCUGCAACUCGCCCUCAUGAAGUCGGAAUCGCUAGUAAUCGCGGAACAUAAAGCCGCGGUGAAUACGUUCUCGAGUCCUGUACUCACCGCCCGUCACACCAAGGGAGCCGGGAGAGCUUAAAGUGUGCUUUAAUGUGCAUCAGAGCUAACUCGGUAACACGGGUGAAGUCGUAACAAGG